UGGAACCGCUGCUUCGACUUUUACUAAGCAGCGCUCCUAACCUUCUCGCAAAUUUUGCGGCCCCCACAGG
rnacentral:snRNA from 2 species